GUAUUAUAUUAAAGGAGAGAAGAUUAGCACUCCCCUUGAGAAGGAUGGAAGAGGUCCUAGUGCCCUUUACAGCACAUAUCCUGCUAAGUUAUUGCCCCCUACUCUGUGACAUCGAAUCAUGUAACAUGU